rnacentral:rRNA from 1 species
GACGAACGCUGGCGGCGUGCUUAACACAUGCAAGUCGAACGAAGAGUGAUGGAAGCUUGCUUCUAUCAAUCUUAGUGGCGAACGGGUGAGUAACGCGUAAUCAACCUGCCCUUCAGAGGGGGACAACAGUUGGAAACGACUGCUAAUACCGCAUACGAUCUAAUCUCGGCAUCGAGGAUAGAUGAAAGGUGGCCUCUACAUGUAAGCUAUCACUGAAGGAGGGGAUUGCGUCUGAUUAGCUAGUUGGAGGGGUAACGGCCCACCAAGGCGAUGAUCAGUAGCCGGUCUGAGAGGAUGAACGGCCACAUUGGGACUGAGACACGGCCCAGACUCCUACGGGAGGCAGCAGUGGGGAAUCUUCCGCAAUGGACGAAAGUCUGACGGAGCAACGCCGCGUGAGCGAUGACGGCCUUCGGGUUGUAAAGCUCUGUUAAUCGGGACGAAAGGCCUUCUUGCGAAUAGUGAGAAGGAUUGACGGUACCGGAAUAGAAAGCCACGGCUAACUACGUG